GCUGGAGCUGGUUCUCAGCACUCACUUGCCCUGCCCUGCCCUCCCCACCGACCUCUGCGGCAGAGCCGGGCCCCAGGGCAGAGCCAUGCCUCCGCAAUCAGCCUCACCUGCAGCAUCGCCCACUGAGGCUCCAGCUGCCCUCUCAGCACCUCCACCCUGCCCAGCUUACCUCCUCCAGGAGGGCCAGGACUCGGCCCCCUGCCAGCCCCCGAAGCAUGGCAGCCAGGAGUGCAGCGUGGGGGCCCUGCAGGCCAUGGCCAGGCCCUAGCGCCACCAGCACCAGGUCAGGCUGGAAGCCAUAGGCCAGGGGCAGCACCAAGCCCAAGAUGCAGCUCAGGAAGCCACCAGUCAUCUGUGGGGACAGCAGAGCCCAGCUCCUCAUCUACAGACACCUGCUGGCUCUGGCCCUCCAACCUCAAUCUCAGGGCCCCUGGAGCAGGAGCAGGGAGACAGGAAGGACCAGAGGCCUGCUCUCAUGACGUGCCAGCAAGCAGCAGCGGCACACAUCCAUGGGCUCCCCAGCACCUGCCUUGCCGCGUGGCGUGGUCACUCACCACUGGCAGUGGUGUGGAGACUUGGAACAUGGAUAGGGCGGCUGCCUCCUUGCCCCCGAUGUUCAGCCACAGAGUCCUCCUUCCAGGACACAUGUGCAUAAGUGUAAGGCCCUGCUCACCCUCCUGAGCCCAGACCACAGGCAGAGGUGGAAGAGCAAUCACAGGGCCAUGGGCAGGGGUGCUGUGACUGCUGAGCCUCUGUGCUGGAGACCCACCUGGCAUUGCCUGUAGCAGCCCUUCUCCCAAACCCCAGCUGAGGAAGGCUCCAUUCAGUACCACAGUGCCCCACCCACCCGUCACCCUGGGGCCCAGGCACACAUCCGUCGCAUGCCCAUCCACAUCCAUGGCUGGACAGAUGCAAGACGUGAGUCCUACCCGUCAUGGGCGAGGUCUGGAGGCCGGUCCAGCUGUCCCAGGGCCACACACAGCAGCCUGGAGGAAGAGCUGGCCUCAGGACAGGUGUUCCUGUUGUCCAGAGUCCAUUCCCACAGCUCUCUCUGCCAGCCAGGAUAGGGGUGCCCACAGGUCCUGCCCUCAGAGGCUCCAGAUGGUCAAGUGAGGCUUACCUCUGGGCUCCGUGGGACAGGCCUCUCUGAAUAGCCACAUCCAGCGUGGCUGCUGCAGCAGAGGCUGGAGUGGCUGCAAUGCCACUGUUCACCUGUGGGAUGAAUAAACAGUGGAGGAUGAGGCAGCAGCCAACUCCCGAGCCAGGUAAACAGAUCCACGGUUCCCUCCAUUCGGUGUAUCUCUGUGGCUAAUGUCAGCCACACUUCUUACACUCAGGUCAAUCACUCCGCUUCUGUAAAUAA